rnacentral:rRNA from 1 species
AUUGAACGCUGGCGGAAUGCUUUACACAUGCAAGUCGAACGGCAGCACGGACUUCGGUCUGGUGGCGAGUGGCGAACGGGUGAGUAAUGUAUCGGAACGUGCCCAGUCGUGGGGGAUAACGUAGUGAAAAUUACGCUAAUACCGCAUACGACCUAUGGAUGAAAGCGGGGGAUCGCAAGAACUCGCGCGAUUGGAGCGGCCGCGAUCAGAUUAGGUAGUUGGUGGGGUAAAGGCCCACCAAGCCAACGAUCUGUAGCUGGUCUGAGAGGACGACCAGCCACACUGGAACUGAGACACGGUCCAGACUCCUACGGGAGGCAGCAGUGGGGAAUUUUGGACAAUGGGCGAAAGCCUGAUCCAGCCAUUCCGCGUGCAGGAUGAAGGCCCUCGGGUUGUAAACUGCUUUUGUACAGAACGAAAAGGUUUCUACUAAUACUAGGAGCUCAUGACGGUACUGUAAGAAUAAGCACCGGCUAACUACGUGCCAGCAGCCGCCGUAA